rnacentral:rRNA from 1 species
CCUACGGGUGGCAGCAGUAGGGAAUAUUGCUCAAUGGGGGAAACCCUGAAGCAGCAACGCCGCGUGGAGGAUGAAGGUUUUCGGAUUGUAAACUCCUUUUGUUAGAGAAGAUGAUGACGGUAUCUAUCGAAUAAGCACCGGCUAACUCCGUGCCAGCAGCCGCGGUAAUACGGGGGGUGCACGCGUUACUCGGAAUCACUGGGCGUAAAGGGCGCGUAGGCGGGAUAGCAAGUCAGAUGUGAAAUCCUAUGGCUUAACAAUAGAACUGAAUUUGAAACUGUUAGUCUAGAGUAUGGGAGAGGUAGGUGGAAUUCUUGGUGUAGGGGUGAAAUGCGUAGAGAUCAAGAGGAAUACUCAUGGCGAAGGCGACCUGCUAGAACAUAACUGACGCUGAUGCGCGAAAGCGUGGGGAGCAAACAGGAUUAGAUACCCUAGUAGUC